rnacentral:tRNA from 1 species
AAGUAUAAAGCUUAUAUAAAGCACUUCAUUUACACUGAAAAGAAUAAUUAUAAAUUAAUUAAUACUAA